GACGAACGCUGGCGGCGUGCCUAAUACAUGCAAGUCGAGCGGAUCUUCAUUAGCUUGCUUUUGAAGAUCAGCGGCGGACGGGUGAGUAACACGUGGGCAACCUGCCUGUAAGACUGGGAUAACUUCGGGAAACCGGAGCUAAUACCGGAUAAUCCUUUUCCUCUCAUGAGGAAAAGCUGAAAGACGGUUUCGGCUGUCACUUACAGAUGGGCCCGCGGCGCAUUAGCUAGUUGGUGAGGUAACGGCUCACCAAGGCGACGAUGCGUAGCCGACCUGAGAGGGUGAGCGGCCACACUGGGACUGAGACACGGCCCAGAGUCCGACGGGAGGCAGCAGUAGGGAAUCUUCCGCAAUGGACGAAAGUCUGACGGAGCAACGCCGCGUGAGCGAUGAAGGCCUUCGGGUCGUAAAGCUCUGUUGUCAGGGAAGAACAAGUACCGGAGUAACUGCCGGUACCUUGACGGUACCUGACCAGAAAGCCACGGCUAACUACGUGCCAGCCGCCGCGGUAAUAC
rnacentral:rRNA from 1 species